CUCGGCGCUCCCCACCGCCCGCCUCCAGGCUCCACGGAGCGGCCGUGUCCCUGCUCCCGCCAAUCGGCGUCGUCAGCAAUCCCGAACCGGACCAAUCAGCGGCCUCAGGGUGUGGGAACUGUCGCCAUGGCAGCCAGGAGGCGGGCUCGCGCGGCGGGAGGCGGGCAGAGCGGAGCAGUGGGCUGGGGGCUGGAGGACAGGUUUGUGCGCUGGACGCAAGCCGCAGGCGCAGCCUCGCUCACCGAGACCCGGCCAGAGUGCUGGGAUUACCAGACGUGAGCCACCGUGCCUGGCCGACCCAUCUUCUAAGAGUCGAAUCUGUCUGUGUUGUGUUUACCUUUCUUUGCUCUCCCAAGAACGUGUUACGAGUCAGUUUUUAGUGAAAAAACAUUGGGCUAGGAGCCAAGACCCAUCUCUUCACUAUUUUGGUAUUGUGCAAGUCAUCUUAUCUCUCUGGACCUCAGUUGUCUCAUCUGUAAAAAGGAGAUAAAAAUUAUUUACCUGCCUGAACGUAAGUACUCAAGAAUUGCAUUUGGUUGCAAAGAAAAAUGACUACC
rnacentral:lncRNA from 1 species